UGCUGGGUUGCGUUCUGUCUUCAAAUAGAACCCCAGUGAGGCAGCGGGCCGGGCGGUAGGGGUGGCACGGCGCUGAAAGGAGGCGGAGGCGAGCAGAGAUGCCCUCCCUACCAUAGAUAAUGGGUGGCCAAGUAGUUAGCGUGGUGGACGUGCCCGAAAGAGUUCUGGAUGGAAGUCGCUGCUCAUCUCUGGCGGUUGCUGGGUAUCCUUCAGCCAGUCGCUGUCUCUGGAGGCGUAGGCUACCUACCUCAAAGACCUUUGGGGGAGAUUAAUAAUAAUAUAUAUUUAUAUUCAGAUUUUCCACCCAAAAGUGCCUCAAUGUGGUUUACAGAGCAACAGGUCUAAGAAUAUCAGAAUUCCAUGGUUCUAACAACCUUGGUUCUGUGAGGAAAGGUGGUAUAUGUCAAUGAAACAAAGAGAUUGCAUGAUGAGAUUUCUCAACUGGUCCCCCAGAAGGACCGUAGGGAAACUGCCAUAGAUUUCCCAAAAAGCUUCAUGGGGUUCUCCAACCCUCAGUGAAGCUCUAAACCGGUCUCCACUUUUGAAAGGUUACGGUUCAGGCAAUAAAUGCCCUAAGAUCAAAACAAGAUGGAUUGCUUAAAGUCUAUUUCACAGAUUAUCUCAGUGAAAUGGGCAAAAAACAAAAAAAACCCUCUGUGUGGAGAACUGGCAUGUCAGGGAGAUUCCCGGCCACACAAGCUUUCUACAGGAAUCUGGGGUCUCCCCCGCCACCCGCCAACCUUAACUUGCGGGAUCUUUCAAAAGUGAUUAUUCAAAGAUGCAGACCUGCAGUCUGAAACAGUACUGUGCAGGAAAGACUACCGCUGUGUACUGUUUCUGAAGGCUUGAAGCAGUGGCUUUAAAGCCUCUGCAAAUAUCUAUCCUAGUCUUCCAUGUAUUAUUCAGGCCAUCUAUCUUUGUUUUGGCCCCUACUGCCCCUCAGCUCCACAAGAUUUUGAGCCAAGGGAGAAAUGGGAAGGGAAGACCCACCAAGCAGAAUAAACGAACCAUCUUGGAGGAUCAGGCCAAAAGGUCCAAGCAGGCCAGCAUUCUGUUUCCAACAGUAGCCAGAGACCGCUGGCUCUUGAGUUCACAAACUGGACAUGUUGGCAGAUAGCUAUUCCCUGUUCCUUGUCAUUGCUUGGAGUUCUGUUGUUAGCUAUUAUGGCCACUAAUGUGUCCAGUUAUUUUCCCAAGUUAUCUAAGCUAGUGACUAUUAUAGUGCCAGCUCAAUGUUCUCACUGCUGCAGACAAAUUAAAGUCCCCAUCCUUCUCUGCCUUAUCGUAAACAUAUUAAUAGAACAUUAAAUGAUCAAAAGUUGACUUCAGUAUGAGUUUUUCUUUUUUUCAAAGGCUUUGCAUCUUUUCUUUAUGACCUAAGAAUGUAGUGGAGAUCUGAAGGCUCUCUAGUGUGUCUCUUAGGGUGCCAGUGAUCUGCUACACUGCCUCAGUAGGCCUCCUCCAGACGCAGAGGCAAUGAUUUUCUCUCUCUAAGAUAUUUACACAGUUGAGGCAGACACCCCCAGAAUGCUACCACUCCAAGCAGUUGCCUAGUUUUUUCUAUGAUUGGGCAUGCCCUGGGUCUGUUACAUCCUGUGAAAGUUAGUUCCAUAAAUUGACUAGCUACUGUGCAAACAAGUAUUUCCUGGUGCUUCCAUCUACCUCCUAGGAAGGCCUAGCUGUAAGGCAUAUCCUGGUUCAGUCUUGAACAUGAGAACGGGGAUGGAAUUCCAAAAAUAUGUCCCUGAGGAGUGUGCAACUAACCACAACAGCCAGUAACUACCUCAUCAAAUAAUGACAACUAGUCUUGACUUCUACGCUUCAGCAAUACUGAUGUAGGACAUUUCUUUCAUGCUAGGAAAAGAAACUCAUCUAUGAGAAAACCUCAUCAAAGUUCUGUGGUUGGGCAAGAGAAGCACAGAGGGACGUAUUUUUGGGUGGCGCAAGCACCUGUGGAAGAAACGGGAGAUUAUCUCCUUCCUGCAUGUGACACUGUGGCUUUAGUCUGGAAUGCAACACUGCCACACUAGCACUUUGUUAGUCAUGAUUCAUUAGUUGGCCAGUGUCUGCAGCUUUUUCAUGGGAUUCUACUCGCUGAAUGCAAAAUCAGUACCUCAAGCAGUCUGUCUGAGCAGUAAGAAAACUCACCUGGUUUUGGAGAAACCCCAAGUUCACACCAUGGGACCAGAAAUGUUAUGGUGGUGAUCUUAUAACCCAAGGACGUCAGUGCCCAACAGCAAAAGCCUACAUUGCAGAAGCACAGUUCAUAGCUGCUCUGAAAAACAAUAUUGGGGAAAAUCUUUUGGUCAACUACUAAUACUCGGCAAACUCAAGAUGAUAAAUGUUAAAGGUUGUGUCACUGCGCUUUCUACCUCUGCUUCCUUGUCUUGAUAGAGAAAAGCACAGAGGAAUCUGGAGGAGGAAAAUUACCAAAACAUCCUGUCUGUGUUCACUGUUUCCUCCAACCCAUCUGCAUUCCAUACUUCAGUCCUAUUUGUGGUAGCAAUGGGAUAACCUACCAGAAUGAGUGUGAGCUCUGCAAUUAUCGCAGAAUUAUUGCACAUGUGAUGGUGCCUUUGAAAAUGGUGCCAAUAGCUGGAUCCUGAGGGCUCAACUAGGCCAGAUGUUGGAGAUCCAUUAACUGCUCUCCUGACUCUGCAAAUGUUUGCACAAAGCAGUUGAGAACGCAAUUUGAAGGAGGACUUCAAAUGGCUUUGGGGGAAGGGGUCAACCCUUUUACCCCAGGAUGUUUUAUCUAAUGAAAAUCUCUCCCUCUCUCUCUCUCCCUCUCUCUCUCUGGGGACAUUUUGCCCUGGCAGAAAAAAGUGUAUGUGCCUGUAAAUUUUCCUGCUGGGGGAGAAAGGCACAGGGAAUUUCCACCUAUCCCAAUACCCCAGUCCUGAUCCAAAUUACCCCAGGCUGCUGAUCACAAUAUGUAAAGAGAUGGGAGAUCUGAUCACGAACCUCCAACAUUUCACCUCUCUUGCUAAACCAGCAAGCAGGAACUAUGGAUCUACACUACAGAUAAAUACAGUAUGUUAAAGGGUUGGUAUGAAAUUUCUAUUUACUUUUAUUUUGUAUUGAUGUCUCUGUGUGAUUUGAUCUAAGAUCAUAAUACAUUUUGAUUGA